rnacentral:rRNA from 1 species
GGGGAAUUUUGCGCAAUGGGCGAAAGCCUGACGCAGCAACGCCGCGUGGGUGAUGAAGGUCUUCGGAUCGUAAAACCCUGUCGUCGGGGACGAAGGUAGCUUAGUUAACAGCUGAGUUGCUUGACGGUACCCGGAGAGGAAGCCCCGGCUAACUCUGUGCCAGCAGCCGCGGUAAUACAGAGGGGGCAAGCGUUAUUCGGAAUUAUUGGGCGUAAAGGGCGCGUAGGCGGUUUUUUAAGUCAGAUGUGUAAUCCCCGAGCUCAACUUGGGAACUGCAUCUGAGACUGGAAGGCUAGAGUACUGGAGAGGGUGGUAGAAUUCCACGUGUAGCGGUGAAAUGCGUAGAGAUGUGGAGGAAUACCAGUGGCGAAGGCGGCCACCUGGACAGUAACUGACGCUGAGGCGCGAAAGUGUGGGUAGCAAAC